rnacentral:rRNA from 1 species
CCUCAGUAGUUAGAUAACAAAACUACUCGCCAGAAUACUACAAGCUAUAGCUUAAAACUCAAAGGAUUUGACGGUGCUUUACACCCCCUAGAGGAGCCUGUUCCCUAAUCAAUAAACCCCGAUCCACCCCACCCUCUCUUGCUCACCCUAUAUACCGCCAUCUUCAGCAAACCCUAAUGAGGGGCACAAAGUGAACGCAAAUGCCAUUGCCGCAAACACGUUAGGUCAGGGUGUAGCCUAUGAGACGGUAAAAAAUGGGCUACAUUUUCUACCUCAAAAAAUUCCACAAAAACCCUUAUGAAAUUUAAGGGUCCAAGGGGGAUUUAGCAGUAAAUUAAGAAUAGAGUGCUUAAUUGAACCAGGCCAUAAAGGGCGCACCCGCCGCCC